rnacentral:lncRNA from 7 species
ACACACACAGCACAGCAAAAGAACCUGUGUGCUAGCUGUGGCUGUGAUCCUGUCCUCCUCUCUAGCUAGUAGCUAUCUCCAUGCAUCUUCUUUAAUUUUGUUCUCAUCUCCGAUUCUCAGAUAUCCUCUUCUCUGGUCUCUUUAUAUAUAUCUAUCUAUCUCUGCUCCAGCUCCAGAUGAUGAGAUGAGAUGCUGGCAUCAUAUCUAUCUUUUGUUGAUCUGAUCCCUUAGCUUGCUGUUGAUAUACAUGCAUGCAUAAUAUUAUUAUUAGUAGUAAUUCCGUCGUCAGGCCAGCGUUCGUUGUUCACGCUUGGUUCGCCGUCGUUGACAAAUAUCGGCGAAUUGAAGCUUUAGGCUGUGCUCAGCAGAAUUAGCAAGUGCAACGCGCAGUGUCCAAGAGCAUCCCAACAAGG